rnacentral:rRNA from 1 species
CUUUAUUGGAGAGUUUGAUCCUGGCUCAGGACGAACGCUGGCGGCAUGCCUAAUACAUGCAAGUCGAGCGGACUUGAUGAGAAGCUUGCUUCUCUGAUGGUUAGCGGCGGACGGGUGAGUAACACGUAGGCAACCUGCCCUCAAGCUUGGGACAACUACCGGAAAC